UCGGGAAUCUUCGGCAAUGGGGGCAACCCUGACCGAGCAACGCCGCGUGAGUGAAGAAGGUUUUCGGAUCGUAAAGCUCUGUUGUAAGAGAAGAACGUGUGUGAGAGUGGAAAGUUCACACAGUGACGGUAACUUACCAGAAAGGGACGGCUAACUACGUGCCAGCAGCCGCGGUAAUACGUAGGUCCCGAGCGUUGUCCGGAUUUAUUGGGCGUAAAGCGAGCGCAGGCGGUUUAAUAAGUCUGAAGUUAAAGGCAGUGGCUUAACCAUUGUUCGCUUUGGAAACUGUUAAACUUGAGUGCAGAAGGGGAGAGUGGAAUUCCAUGUGUAGCGGUGAAAUGCGUAGAUAUAUGGAGGAACACCGGUGGCGAAAGCGGCUCUCUGGUCUGUAACUGACGCUGAGGCUCGAAAGCGUGGGGAGCAAACAGG
rnacentral:rRNA from 1 species